ACUCAAAUGAAUUGACGGGGACCCGCACAAGCAGAGGAUCAUGUGGUUUAAUAUGACGCUACGCGUAGAACCUUACCAAGGCUUGACAUCCCUGGGACCCGGUAGAGAUACUGGGGUGCCUUCGGGAGCCAGGUGACAGGUGCUGCAUGGCCGUCGUCAGCUCGUGUCGUGAGAUGUUGGGUUAAGUCCCGCAACGAGCGCAACCCUUAUCGUAUGUUGUAUUUUUCAUGCGAGACUGCCCGGGCCAACCGGGAGGAAGGUGGGGAUGACGUCAGGUCGGCAUGGCCCUUAUGCCUUGGGCUACUCACGUGAUACAAUGGCCGGUACAAUGCGCUGCGAAACCGUGAGGUGGAGCAAAUCGUAUCAAAACCGGUCUCAGUUCGGAUUGAAGGCUGCAACUCGCCUCCAUGAAGUCGGAUUUGCUAGUAAACGUAGGUCAGCACACUACGUUGAAUACGUUCCCGGGUCUUGUACACACCGCCCGU
rnacentral:rRNA from 1 species